rnacentral:lncRNA from 1 species
UUAUUUCUCCAGUGAGGCUCUGCUCUCCACACUUCCACAAUAUCUCAAUUCAAUUUCUGUAGUCAUCAAUGAACCAAAUCAAGAAUGGAACUAGGCAGAUGGCCCCAUGGUUAAGAGCAUUUGCUGCUCUUACAGAAGACCCAGCUUUGGUUCCCAAAAUCUGUGUGUUAGCUCACAUUCAUCAGUAACUCUCUUUGUAGGGAUCUGAAUUCAUCUUCUGACCUUUAUUGUACACACACAUAUAUAUAGGCUAAUAAUUCAUAUACAUAAAAUAAAAAUAUGUGUAAGAAGAGUAUUGGUAUUAAGAACCCUCAUAGUCUACUCAUGUCUGGAAAUGUGCCCAGGGGUGUGCUUUAGUACUUUCUUAGUUGUUCCUUUAUUCAGAGAAGGUGACAAUUGAAAUUAACCCUUGCAUGGACUACAUCACUUCAUUUAUUAUUGACUCCUCUUUACCCUCUCUCUGAGUGUUUGGUGCUUGUUGGAUAAGUAUUGGAAUUGUUUCCUAAAAAAUAUUUCCCAAGUAUUCCAUACAUUUAUACUGUUUUGGCGGCAUUGGUUUCAUGUUAGUUAUUUUUAUUAUUCUCUAUAAGACAAUUGUACUCAUAUUCUGCAAGAUCACUAAAGCCUCUUGUUUUAAGAGCAUCUUUCUAUGUUCCAUACAUCUGUCUAUAAAGAUAAUCCCAUCAUCAAAUAAAAACAGUUCACUUCUGCUUUUCCCAUAUACUGUCCCUAUUUUGCCCACUUCAUUGGCUAUUCCAAUACAAUGUUAAGUAGGCAUGGUGAAGAAAGCCUCAUUUCUCUUAUUACUAAUUUUAGGGGAAAACCAUUAGUUGCAUUUUUAAGGCUUUUUUAUUACAUGGAUUCAGACAGUCAGUCAGUGUACUGGCUCGUUUUGGGUCAACUUGACACAGGCUAGAGUUAUCACAGAGAAAGGAGCUUCAGUUGGGGAAAUGUCUCCAUGAGAUCCAACUGUAAGGCAUUUUCUCAAUUAGUGAUGACGGGGGGAAAGGCCCCUUGUGGGUGGUGCCAUCUCUGAGUUGGUAGUCUUGGUUCUAUAAGAGAGCAGCCUGGCAAGCCAGGGGAAGCAAGCCAGUAAGGAGUAUCCCUCCAUGGCCUCUGCAUCAGCUCCUGCUUCCUGACCUGCUUGAGUUCCAGUCCUGCAUCCUUUGGUGAUCAACAGUGAUGUGGAAGUGUAGCUGAAUAAACCUUUUCCUCCCCAACUUGCUUCUUGGUCAUGAUGUUUUGUCCAGGAAUAGAAACCCUGACUAAGACAGACAGUCAGUCAGUCAGUCAGUCAGUCAGUCAGUCAGUCAGUCAUUGAUGGGGUUCAAUUAUGCCCUAGUUCCCUGAAGAAAGUGAAACCACAAAUUGUAGGGGUCAUUUUUUUCUUUUCAACAUAUGAGACCUGAGGGUCAAACUCAGGUCACUAGGUUUGGUAGCAAGUGUCUUUCCUGGCUGUUGCAAUUUUGUGGAUGAAAUUGAUCAAGUCAAGAAAAUCUCAUUUAGGAAGCUGAAGCAAUGACUCAGCAGUUAAGAGCACUAGCUGCUCUUCUAGAAGACUCAGGUACAGUUCUUAAGGUAGCUCAUGGUCACCUGUAAUUUCAGUUCUAGAACAUCCAAUGCCUUCUUCUUACCUCUACAGACACCAGGCCCUCAGGUGGUUUCCAGACAUAUCUGCAGGCAAAGCAUUCAUACCCAUAAAAUAUAAU